rnacentral:tRNA from 1 species
GGCCGUGUAGCUCAGUUGGUAGAGCAGGGCUCGGGUAGAUGACGAACCGAUCGGUCGUCGCUACUGAUGGGCCUUUGUCGCGGGUUCGAGUCCCGCCACGGUCA